rnacentral:rRNA from 1 species
CCUACGGGAGGCAGCAGUAGGGAAUCUUUCACAAUGGGCGAAAGCCUGAUGGAGCAACGCCGCGUGCAGGAUGAAGGCCUUCGGGUUGUAAACUGCUUUUAUAAGCGAGAAAUAUGAUGGUAACUUAUGAAUCAGGAUCGGCUAACUACGUGCCAGCAGCCGAGGUCAUACGUAGGAUCCGAGCAUUAACCGGAGUAACUGGGUGUAAAGAGUUGCGUAGGUGGCAAAAUAAGUAGCUAGUGAAAUCUGGUGGCUCAACCAUUCAGACUAUUAGCUAAACUGGUAAGCUCGAUACCGUUAGGGGUAACUGGAAUUUCUAGUGUAGGAGUGAAAUCCGUAGAUAUUAGAAGGAACACCAAUAGCGUAGGCAGGUUGCUGGGACGGUUCUGACACUAAGGCACGAAAGCGUAGGGAGCAAACGGGAUUAGAUACCCGGGUAGUC